rnacentral:lncRNA from 1 species
CAGUCUGGAGGCUGGAAGGCCAAGAUCAUGGUAUUGAAAUGGUAAGGAUGGUUUCUGUUGCUCUAUUAGGAUGAUGUCUGAAUUUGAACCCACCACACGAGGGAAAAGAAGUCGACAGAGACUUGAGCUGUGCCGAAACAACUGUGUCCUGAUUUCCCCAGGCCCUACACAGCUCAUGGUAUACGGAAUGCAAGGGAAGAACUGCUUGCAGGCCACAGGGUGGACAAGGCCCUGGAGCUCUGCGAAACCAGGAAGGCACCAUGGAUGGCUCUGGCUUCCAGAAGUUUAAUAGGAAAAAAAAGGCAAACAAACAUUAAGACAGAAAAUGCAUGCAGCAUAUAGCGCCCACAGCUCCUUUUUCUUGGCGUGCCCCUGGUCCCUGCAGCCACUUGGCCAAGUGCAGUGUCUGUCUUCCUUCAGGUCCUCUAUUGGUGUGCACUUCUCGAGCCUAGGGCCACGUCUUUCCAUCUUUGGACAAAUGCCAGUGCCUUUUCUGACACAUUGUAAGUGCUGAAUAGAUAGUAAAUGGCUGACUGAACAAAUGCAACUUACAACUAUAUAAUGGAAGAUGUGGAAGUAAUCGGGGUGUAGUUUUUUUUUUUCUUGGAUUAUCCGUUUUCUCUCUGGGAUCCAUGGUGGUUUAUAUACAAAAUCUCAAGGUCAAUGUCUCCUUAGUUGGGGAGCCUAAGUAGGAAAAAUAGGAAAUGGCUAAAGCAUUAAGAAAAAGAUAAAGAAGUGUUACAUGUCCUUAUGAAAACACAGACACUGUAGAGAGAAAGUCUGCAGGACCCUAAUGAGCUAACUGCAAAGGGGUUAUAAAUUCUACAUGGUGUCUAUCUGCAAGCCAGGGCCACCUCAAGGUCUAAGACCCUUGACGUUGCUGUCAUAUGAAUGUGUGAAGAUAGGUUUCAAUUGAGAUUGAUUAGAAAAGGUAUCUUGCCCCAAUCGAAAAUUGGACAAAUGAUAAGAGC